rnacentral:rRNA from 1 species
AUUGAACGCUGGCGGCAGGCCUAACACAUGCAAGUCGAGCGGAUGAAGGGAGCUUGCUCCUGGAUUCAGCGGCGGACGGGUGAGUAAUGCCUAGGAAUCUGCCUGGUAGUGGGGGAUAACGUCCGGAAACGGGCGCUAAUACCGCAUACGUCCUGAGGGAGAAAGUGGGGGAUCUUCGGACCUCACGCUAUCAGAUGAGCCUAGGUCGGAUUAGCUAGUUGGUGGGGUAAAGGCCUACCAAGGCGACGAUCCGUAACUGGUCUGAGAGGAUGAUCAGUCACACUGGAACUGAGACACGGUCCAGACUCCUACGGGAGGCAGCAGUGGGGAAUAUUGGACAAUGGGCGAAAGCCUGAUCCAGCCAUGCCGCGUGUGUGAAGAUGGUCUUCGGAUUGUAAAGCACUUUAAGUUGGGAGGAAGGGCAGUAAGUUAAUACCUUGCUGUUUUGACGUUACCAACAGAAUAAGCACCGGCUAACUUCGUG